GUGAGUCAUGAGCACUGAUGAAGGUGGACCCUGGGCAGCCCUUUUGCAUUUUGAAGUGAGAAGCCGGAGAUGUGUGGAGUUCCAAGCCCUUCUGAAUCGUUUGACGGAAACUGAGGCCCAGAAGGGGAAGGCACGGGCCGAGUGACCUAAGUUUUGACCACCUGUUGUGGCCUUGGGGUCCAGGCCCUCCGCCUUCAGCUCCAGCGCCCUCUUCCCUGGAGCCUGCUGGCUCUUGCCAUUUUCUAGCGUGGGUGUUUGUAGCCCUGCACAACUCACGACCGGUGACCCUGCCUUGGUAUAUGGUCUUCAUGUUUUAGAAUUGAAGCAAUUCAUCACACAGUCUUCAGCUUUCUGUUGUGCCUCAUGGUGGUGUGGAAGCAACCCUGGAUUCCCCAAAGCUUUGUUGGAAGAAAGUAAGCUCUGUCAGAUCUUUCAGAGCUUGAAGGGUUUUGAAUACAGAUUCAGCAAAAGAAUGAAAUCUAAGCACUGGUUGAGCUCAUUUGGAAAGGACCAUACUGAGGUUGGCUGCAAAGUGAGAAAUGUUUUAGCCACAGAAACUAAUGAAGACCAGAAGGACUGUGAGCCAUCAGUACAAGUAGUACCCAUAUUGAUAAGUCACAAAAUGUCAAGGUAUUAUUGAUGCAUACAAUUAUUGAGAUGCUUAUGGACUUGGAAAAUUGUGAGGAUUUUGUAAUUUUAGUGACUUCAGUGUUGGGCCCUGUUCUCAGACAGAAUGAAUUUGGUUUUGUUUUUUUUUACUAAAAAACUAUGUGGAUGAUUUUGUCUUCACCCACAGUUCCUCCUGGAUUAAUGACAAUCUGGUUUAUGUCACUUUAAUGGCCACUUAUAAACUCUGAGGCUACCAAAAGUAUUAAGCAUAGAAGACUAUUGUUAAAGUAGUAGAGAACAGAAAGAGUCUCUGAGUGACUAACAAAACAACUGGGGCCUGAGAAUCUCCCUGCUAAGUUCCAUGUACCUUCCCAG
rnacentral:lncRNA from 1 species